UUAGUGGCAGACGGGUGAGUAAUGCAUAGGAAUCUACCUAGUAGUAUAGGAUAGCCACUAGGAAUGGUGGGUAAUACUGUAUAAUCCCUGCGGGGGAAAGAUUUAUCGCUACAUGAUGAGCCUAUGUUAGAUUAGCUAGUUGGUGGGGUAAUGGCCUACCAAGGCAGUGAUCUAUAGCUGGUCUGAGAGGAUGAUCAGCCACACUGGAACUGAGAUACGGUCCAGACUCCUACGGGAGGCAGCAGUGGGGAAUAUUGGACAAUGGGCGCAAGCCUGAUCCAGCUAUGCCGCGUGAGUGAGGAAGGCCUUAGGGUUGUAAAACUCUUUCAGUAGGGAAGAUAAUGACGGUACCUAUA
rnacentral:rRNA from 1 species